rnacentral:tRNA from 1 species
GGGGUUGGGGCUCAGUGGUAGAGCACACGCCUCGCACAUGUGAGGCAUUGGGUUUGAUCCUCAGCACCACA